GUUAAACCCCAUUUCUCUCUCUCUCAAUUUUGAUACCCAAAAAUUUGACAAAACAAAUAAUGAUUGAUUGUCGGAAACUGUUUCAUAAAGCAAAGUUGUUCUCUACUAAAAGGUUAUCACUGUCCAAAUGUUAGGAGUAGUCCACACCUAGGCCGACUAUGCAUGAAGUGUUUUUAUAAUUAAAUUUAUUAAAUAUAGUACCUUGCAUCAGUAAAUAUAAAAUUAAUGAUCCUUUCACCAGUAAAUAUAAAUUAAAAUUACCCGAUUUGAUUAUUCUUUUAAUAUAACGUAAUCAUGUAACCUCAUAUAAAAUAUGGUAGAGCGUAUACAAACAAAUAAUAUGAAUAGAUUCAUUAUCAGAAAUAUUACAGGCCUUUCAAACGAACAGUCGCCAUUUUUAGACCUAAAUACAUGUAGAUGUACAAAUAUAUUUUUAUCGUCUCGGGCAAGGUCAAGGUCACGAUCUGUUCACGGUUGAUGAUUGUGUUUAAAUCGGUUUAUAUCAUAUUAUUUCUAUUCACAUUACAAUAUUUUUUUUAUAGGUUACGGUUAUUGUUGUUAUUUAUCAAAAUUGCUUCAAUUAUUUAUUAAAUAUUUUUUGUUUGUUCGUUUGACCGGAACGUACGGAAUUCUGGGAUUUAAAAUGGCGGCAUAGCUUAUUAUUUUUCCCAAAGAAGAAAUGAUGCCGUGAUUUAAAGUUAAAUAAAGCUAUUCCACACAUACACACACGAUUUUGGAUUCAGCAAAGUAAAGUUGAAGAUCCUACAUGUAUAUUUGAGCACCCGUGGUGGCAGUAAUGACAAAGAAGUUCUAAAAAGAUUUAUAUGGGCUUUAUAAUGAAAGUUAGACAACACUACUACUUGCCAAACACUACUACUUGUCACAUAAUGUAAUGAUAUAAAUAUAUAUGUAUCUAUGGUAGCACAAAUAUCAUCAGAAUGUAGGCCAAAGCUUUACAAGCAUUGUAGGCCUAAAAUACUUUCUGUCUGAACUUUUGACAGUCAAUUCUUUGAUGACUAGUUAGUUUAGAGCAGAUAUCCUGUCACAGUAUUAUAUAACAGCUCUUUGGCUUAAAAUUUAAACUGAGUUGUAUCAGUGAGUUGAAAAUCAUCUGUGUUCCUGUUAUUGCUCCCUGCUGCAGCCAGUAAACAAUAACCUUUUGCGUUCCUUACAAAUCUUCCAAUUUUUACUGAUAGAUCAACCAUAGCAAAGAUCUCUAUUAAGAUUAUAUUUGUAAUGUGUGUAACAAAUUCUAUGACAUAGGUAUAAUAUUGGUGUAGUUAAGUAUAUACCAUAUUUAUGCACACAUUUCAAUAUUGGCAUAUUAUUAGUCUCUAUCAUCUAGAAAAAAAUAUUCUAUAUUCUACGAAUAUUAGUGUGGUUGCGUUGUCAACAUUUGAGAAUAAUCGGUCAUAGGCUAGAUUAUCCGGUCUUUUACAUUAUCAUAAACAAAGUCUAAGGGAGGUAACUAGUCCUAAAACAAGAUGUUGACGCCCAUGAAAUUUAUAUAAGAAUGCCAUUUCCGAAAAUCCAUUUGAUUGCAUUGUCAGUUCAAUAUCCAACACUCUUAAUUUUUUUUAUUGUAAAAUUUCUCUCUUCAUGGGCCAUAUCUAUGUUGUUUUUUUUAUUGAAUCCUAAUUCGUCAUCACUAUUCAUGUUUGUUUAUAAAUGCAAGUGUUAUUGACAACUGUCCCAGACCCUCAUUAUUUAUAUGGCCCAACUUUUCUUCGGGGUACACCGGCACGGUAUUAGACUAGGAUAAACAUUAGUCUUAUAUACCGCCUCUACUUAAUUAUGGAUGUAGGUCGGAAAAAUGUAAAAUUUGGCAAUUUGACUUAUACUCAACAUCGACUUAUGCUAUAACUGUUUCAAAUGACAAGUGCUAAAUGAAGUAUUUAUGUGGUCUUUGGUGAAAGAAAUGAAAUGAAAUGGGGUUUAACGUCCUACUGUUCUGCUCCUAACCUGGGCUAAUGAAGACGAGCAUAUGCCAUACAGUGUGCUAUGAGGGAAAUUUUGCCUGGGCAGCGGGGCUACGGCCUACUCUUAUAUCGAAUUCCAACUGCCAAGGGAUCUUUUACGUGCACGCCAAUGUCUACACGGGACCCCGUUUUUUUGUCCCAUAACGACUAGACAGCUGUCCUUGUCAGUCCCUCUGUCCUGCAUCACUGACAAGGGAAACCACGCCGGAAAAUCAGGAUGAACUUUCUCGGCCAAUACAGGGAUCAAACACCCGACCUCCAGGCUAGCGAGCCAGCGUCUUACCCACUUAGCCACUUGAUCCCCCCCUUUGGUGAAAGAGAGAGAGAGAGAAAUGGGGUUUACUGUCCACUGGACACAAACUAGGUCAUUUCGGGACUAACAUGGUUUAAUUUUUCAUUUACAUAAUUCGCUUGCGCGUAGGGGUCUUUAGCAGGGGGAGGAAACCGGACGACCCGGAGAAAACCCACGAGGUUGGACAGGCGACCCUACUCCUUGCCACGUACAACCGGGGAUUCGAAACCGCGCCAGUCAACUCAAUGACAGACUUUAUGAUACAGCGCGCGCACGCUAACCAUUCAGCCAUCCACCCCCCCCCCCUUUGGUGAAAGAAAACAGAGCUGUGGCUAGUGAAAUGAAAGUUUAACGUCCUACUGUUUUGCUCUGAACUGGGCUAAUGAAGAUGGGCAUACGCCAUACAGUGUGCUAUGUGGGAAAUUUUGCCCGGACAGUGGCACUACGGCCUUCUCUUAUAUCGAAUUCUAAUUUCAAGGGCUCUUGUACGUGCACGCCAAUGUGUACAUGGGACCUCAUUUUUUUGUCCCAUUUUAAUGACUAGAUAGCUGUCUUGUCUAGCCCUCUGUCCUGCAUCACUGACAAGGGAGAACCACGCUGGAAAAUCUGGAGUAACUUUCUCGGCCAAUGCAAGGAUCGAACACCCGACCUCCAGACUAGAUAGCCAGUGUCUUACGGACUUAACCAACGUGAUCCCCGUUGUGGCUACAAUUCCUGGAUUUGAAGGUCAGGUAUGAUAUGAAACGAAUAUUUUGAACCAAUGCAACCAAUCUGUGACGGGUUAACUGAUAGAGGGUUACAUCCUUGAUAUAAAUAUACUUGUCGCAGGUUUUAAAAAUAGAAAGAUAUAUAUAAAGGUAGCUCAAAAUUCAUCUCUACAUAUACAUAGGCCAAGGGGGGAUCAUGUGGCUAAGUGGGUAAGACGCUGACUCGCUAGCCUUGAGGUCGGGUGUUCGAUCCCUGCAUUGGCCGAGAAAGUUCAUCCUGAUUUUCCGGUGUGGUUUCUCAUUGUCAGUGAUGCAGGACGGAGGGCCUGACGAGGACAGCUGUCUAGUCGUUUGGAUGGGAAAAAAAAAACAAGGUCCAGUGUACACAUUGGCAGUUGGAAUUCGAUACAAGAGUAGGCCAUAGCACUGCUGCCUGGGCAAAAUUUCCCUCAUAGCACACUGUAUGGCGUAACCUUUUGCGUCUCUUCAAAAUAUUUCAAAUCUUUUGUCAUGGAUCAACCAUUGCAAAUAUCCGUGUUACAAUUAUAUUUGAAAUGUGUUAAACCAAUUCUGCAACACAUGUAAUAUUGGUGUAGUAUAUAUCUUUGUUUAUACACCCACAUAUCAAUUUUGGCCCUGUUUGUCCGUACACUGGGUGUGAAAUGUGAAUCAUUCCGAUUGUGAGAGGACAAGCAUUAUCAAUAUACAGCUUUUCAGGACUUUGCCUUCCUUGGUUAAUUCUCCUUUUUUCAAAUGCAAUAGAUGCUGUCUUUAUUCUUAAUUGAUCUUUUUCAAAUUUGUGUUACACACUGGAAUCAUGAGAGGACGAAACCUAUCAAUAUUCAGUAUUCCACAACAUUCCAUUCCAGUGUCGGCCGAGAAAAUUCUUCGUGAUUUCCAGACUUGGUUUCCUCCCCUUGUCAGAGGUGCAGGACAGAGGGCCUGACAAGGAGGGACAGCUGUCUAGUCGUUUGGAAGGUACGAAUGACCGAGGUCCUGUGCACACAUUGGUUCGCACGUGAAAGAUCCCUUGGCAGUUUGAAUUCGAUAUAAGAGUAGGCUUUAGCGCCGCUGUCUGGAUAAAAUUCCAUAAUAGGACACUGUAUAGCAUAUUUCCAUGUCAUUAGCCCUGUCGGAAUAGGACAUUAAACCCCAUUUCAUUUCACUCAUUCCAAAGUUAACUCCUAUUCCAUCAAUACCUUGAGCAAAUAAGAUAGAGGCUAUAGGUUUUGGCCCAAUUUGGUCAAUAUCCCAGUUUUUUCUUUCUUAUAUGCAUAUCAACACUUUCAUAGCGCUAAUGUAGACCUUUUUCUUGAACAUUUUCCCUUGUCAGUGAUGCCGGACAGAGGACCUGACAUGGAUGGCUGACUAGUCAUACGGAAGGGACAAAAAAAACCAAGGUACAGUGUAUACUCAAGUGUGUGUGUGUGAAAGAUCCCUUGGCAGUUGGAAUUUUAUAUAAGAGUACGCCAUAGCUCUGCACACUGUGUGGCAUAUGCCCGUCUUCAUUUCUCAAACAGCUGUGGAUAAAAACUGUUAAUAUUUAAAUGUGUAUUUUGUAUUUUAUAACAUUAUAUUUUUGUCUUUUAAAUAAAGUAUAUGUAUACAUA